rnacentral:sRNA from 1 species
GAUGAUUUAUAGCCUGGAGGGUGAGAAGCCCCGAUGGGUUCGAGCCGAGCGAAGCGACGGCCCGAAGGGUGAGCGUUAGCGAAUAAUCCCUCCAGGCGCGCCA